ACUGCUAAUACCUAAAUGCAGCAUGCCAGUCCUGAGAUGCAGGGACUGGCAUGCUGCAUUUAGAAAUUAGCAGU
ensembl:miRNA